AUUGAACGCUGGCGGCAGGCCUAACACAUGCAAGUCGAGCGGAGCGGCGGACGGGCGAGUAAUGCCUAGGAAUCUGCCUGGUAGCGGGGGAUAACUUCCGGAAACGGGCGCUAAUACCGCAUACUAUCAGAUGAGCCUAGGUCGGAUUAGCUCGGUGGUGGGGUAAAGGCCUACCAAGGCGACGAUCCGUACCUGGUCUGAGAGGAUGAUCAGUCAAACUGGAACUGAGACACGGUCCAGACUCCGACGGGAGGCAGCAGUGGGGAAGAUUGGACAAUGGGCGAAAGCCUGAUCCAGCCAUGCCGCGUGUGUGAAGAAGGUCUUCGGGUUGUAAAGCACUUUAAGUUGGGAGGCGUUACCAGCAGAAUAAGCACCGGCUAACUUCGUGCCAGCAGCCGCGGUAAUUC
rnacentral:rRNA from 1 species